rnacentral:lncRNA from 1 species
CCUCUGGUCUGCGAGCCUUGGCACACUGAUCCCGAGGUCUACUCUCUGGUUGCAUGUGUGGCACACAAAUUGGAAUAAUCCUGCUGGCUGAGAGCUGUGGCACACUGACUUGGAAGACACCUCUACUCUUCUAGCUGUGGCACACCAACCCUGAGGCCUCCUCUGUGGUUGGAGCUGUGGCACGCUUACUUGGAAUACUUCUCCUGGCUUGGAACUAUGGCAUGCACACCUUGAUAUCUCCUCUGGUCUGCGAGCCGUGGCACGCUGACCCUGAGGGCUAAUCUGUGGUUUCAUUUUGGGCACGCAAACUGGAAUAAUCCUGCUGGCUGAGAGCUGUGGCACCCUGGCCUGGAAGACUCCUCGGGGCUUCAAUCUGUUGCACGCUGACCCUGAGGCCUCCUCUGCAGUUGGAGCUGUGGCACGCCUACUGGCAAUACUCCUCCUGGCUUGGAACUAUGGCAAGCUGAACUGGAUGUAUCCUCUGCGCUCUGAGCCAUUGCACGCUGACCCCGAGGUCUCCUCUGUCGUUGGAUCUGUUGCACACAGAUUGGAAUGCUGCUGGCUGAGAGCUGUGGCACACUGACCUGGAUGUAUCCUCUGGUCUGCGAGCCUUGGCACACUGAUCCCGAGGUCUCCUCUGUCGUUGGAUCUGUUGCACACAGAUUGGAAUGCUACUGGCUGAGAGCUGUGGCACGCUGACCUGGAUGUAUCCUCUGGUCUGCGAGCCUUGGCACACUGAUCCCGAGGUCUAGUCUCUGUUUGCAUGUGUGGCACACAAAUUGGGAUAAUCCUUCUGGUUGAGAGCUGCGGGACCCUGACCUGGAAGACUCCUUGGGGCUUUGAUCUGUUGCACGCUGACCCUGAGGCCUCUUCUGUGGUUGGAGCUGUUUCACGCCUACUGGGAAUACUCCUCCUGGCUUGGAACUCUGGCAUGCACACCUUGAUGUCUCCUCUGGGCUGCGAGCCAUGGCACACUGAUCCCGAGGUCUACUCUCUGGUUGCAUCCGUGGCACACAAAUUGGAAUAAUCCUGCUGGCUGAGAGCUGUGGCAUGCUGACCUGGAUGUAUCCUCUGGUCUGCGAGCCUUGGCACCCUGAUCCUUAGGUCUAAUCUCUGGUUGCAUCUGUGGCACACAAAUUGGAAUAAACCUGUUGGCUGAGAGCUGUGGCACGCUGACGUGGAAGACUCCUCUGCUCUUCGAGCUGUGGCACACCAACCCUGAGGCCUCCUCUGUGGUUGGAGCUGUGGCACACCUACUGUGACUACUCCUCCUUUCUGGGAGCUAUGGCAUGGUCAUCUGGAUGUCUCCUCUGGGCUGUGUGCUGUGGCACGCUGAGCCUGAAGGCCUACUCUGUGGUUGGCUUUUUUGCAUGCAUAUUGGAAUACUGCAGGGUGAGAGCUGUGGCAUGUUGAUUUGGAUGUCUCCUCUGGUCUGCGAGCCUUGGCACACUGAUCCCGAAGUCUACUCUCUUGUUGAAUCUGUGGCACACAAAUUGGAAUAAUCCUGCUGGCUGAGAGCUGUGACACGCUGACUUGGAAGACACGUUCACUCUUCUAGCUGUGUCACACCAACCCUGAGGCCUCCUCUGUGGUUGGAGCUGUGGCACGCCUACUUGGAAUACUCCUCCUGGCUUAGAGACAUGUCAAGCUGAACUGGAUGUCUCCUCUGGGCUGCGAGCUGUGGCACACUGACCCCGAGGACUAUUCUGUGGUUGGCUUUGUUGCACACACAUUGGAAUACUGCAGGCUGAGAGCUGUGGCACGCUGACCUGGAUGUCUCCUCUGGGCGGUGAGCCAUAGCAUGCUGACACCGAGUUCUCCUCUGUGGUUGGAUCUGUUGCACGCAGGUUGGAAUAUUGCUGGCUGAGAGCUGUGAUAUGCUGAUAUGGAUGUAUCCUCUGGUCUGUGAGCCUUGACACACUGAUCCCGAAGUCUACUCUCUUGUUGCAUCUGUGGCACACAAAUUGGAAUAAUCCUGCUGGCUGAGAGUUGUGGCACGCUGAUAUGGAUGUAUCCUCUGGUCUGCGAGCUUUGGCACACUGAUCCUGAGAUCUACUCUCUGGUUGCAUCUGUGGCACACAAAUUGGAAUAAUCCUGUUGGCUGAGAGCGGUGGCAGGCUGUCUUGGAAGACUCCUCUGCUCUUUGAGCUGUGGCACAGCAACCCUGAGGCCUCCUCUGCAGUUGGAGCUGUGACACGCCUACUGGGAAUACUCCUCCUUGCUGGAAGCUAUGGCAUGGUCAUCUGGAUGUCUCCUCUGGGCUGUGAGCUGUGGCAUGCUGAGCCGGAAGGCCUACUCUGUGGUUCGCUUUGUUGCACGCAUAUUCGAAUACUGCAGGCUGAGAGCUGUGGCAUGCUGAUCUGGAUAUCUCCACUGGGAGGUGAGCCAUAGCAUGCUGACCCCAAGUUCUCCUCUGUGGUUGGAUCUGUUGCACGCAGAUUGGAGUACUGCUGGCUGAGAACUGUGACACGCUGAUAUGGAUGUAUCCUCUGGCCUGCGAGCCAUGGUACCCCGACCCCGAGGCCUACUCUGUGGUUGCAUCUUUGGCACCCAAAUUGGAAUAUUCCUCCUUGCUGAGAGCUGUGGCACCCUGACCUGGAAGACUGUCAGGGGCUUCGUUAUGUGGCACACGGACUCUGAGGUUUCCUCUGUGGUUGGCACUAUGGAAUGCCUACUUGGAAUACUCCUCCUUGCUUGGAUGUAUGGCAUGCUGACCUGGAUGUUUCCUCUGGGCUGCGAGCAAUGCCACGCUGACCCUGAGGCCUCCUCUUUGGUGAGAGCUCUGGCAUGCAAUUUGGAAUAUUUCUGCUGGCGGCGAACAGUGCCACACUGACCUGGAAGAC